GAUGAACGCUGGCGGCGUGCCUAAUACAUGCAAGUCGAGCGAACAGAUGAGGAGCUUGCUCCUCUGACGUUAGCGGCGGACGGGUGAGUAACACGUGGAUAACCUACCUAUAAGACUGGGAUAACUUCGGGAAACCGGAGCUAAUACCGGAUAAUAUAUUGAACCGCAUGGUUCAAUAGUGAAAGACGGUUUUGCUGUCACUUAUAGAUGGAUCCGCGCCGCAUUAGCUAGUUGGUAAGGUAACGGCUUACCAAGGCAACGAUGCGUAGCCGACCUGAGAGGGUGAUCGACCACACUGGAACUGAGACACGGUCCAGACUCCUACGGCAGGCAGCAGUAGGGAAUCUUCCGCAAUGGGCGAAAGCAUGACGGAGCAACGCCGCGUGAGUGAUGGAAGUCUUCGGAUCGUAAAGCUCUGUUAUUAGGGAAGAACAAAUGUGUAAGUAGCUAUGCACUGCUUGACGGUACCUAAUCAGAAAGCCACGGCUAACUACGUG
rnacentral:rRNA from 1 species